GAUGAACGCUGGCGGCGUGCCUAAUACAUGCAAGUCGAGCGAACAGAUGAGGAGCUUGCUCCUCUGACGUUAGCGGCGGACGGGUGAGUAACACGUGGAUAACCUACCUAUAAGACUGGGAUAACUUCGGGAAACCGGAGCUAAUACCGGAUAAUAUAUUGAACCGCAUGGUUCAAUAGUGAAAGACGGUGUUGCUGUCACUUAUAGAUGGAUCCGCGCCGCAUUAGCUUGUUGGUAAGGUAACGGCUUACCAAGGCAACGAUGCGUAGCCGACCUGUGAGGGUGGUCGGCCACCCUGGAACUGAGCCACGGUCCAGGCUCCUACGGUAGGCCGCAGUAGGGAAUCUUCCGCAGUGGGCGGAAGCCUGACGGAGCAACGCCGCGUGAGUGAUGAAGGUCUUCGGAUCGUAAAGCUCUGUUAUUAGGGAAGAACAAAUGUGUAAGUAACUAUGCCCGUCUUGACGGUACCUAAUCAGAAAGCCACGGCUAACUACGUG
rnacentral:rRNA from 1 species